AUGACAGUUGAGCAUUUGAGUUGUAUCAAUGGUAUCCUUCCUGAAGGUCAUCAAUUUAACGCUGAGGAAUCUGUUGACUACAUUGAGAUGGAGAAAAUUUUAAUCAGUGAUAUGCGCGACGGUGCCGCUAAUCUAGUUCAGAGCUCGGUUCGCCUGUUGAACAACAUGAAGCAUUUCAGAACUAUGCAAAACUCUCGCUGCAAGCCAUAUGAAGAAAGUGCAAAUGUUGUUAUCAAGCAGUUUGAGCAGGAUGAGGCUGCUGCCACCGACAGCAGGGCUGGUGAUGGUAUUGAGGCUAAUGUUUUUGACCACGAAACGAAUGAUGUUGGCUUUGAGCGUCCUAAUGUUGAUAUUGAUCACGAUGAGGCUGCUGGCACCGACAGCAGGGCUGAUGAUGGUACUGAGGCUAAUGUUUCUGAUCAACGUACGAACGAUGUUGGCUCGCAGCACCCUAUUGUUGAUGAGACCAGUCAUAAUGUUGAGGCUGCUGUUGACGGUGGAGUUAAUGAUCUAACCACUGAUAAGUGCAAGGGUCCUAUUGUUGGCGAUGAGCCUUGUUUGCCUGUUGGUGAUGUCGCUUUGAAUUUUAGCAGCAGCAAGUUCGAUGAUGUUGCUAUGAAUGCUUCCAAGAUUACUAUUGUUGAGCGUGAGGUUGUCCUUAGUGGUGGAGAUGAUGCUCAUGAUGUUCCAUUGAGUAGUCGGUGCAAUGUUGGUACCAAAGUUGCUGAUGAGGAUGCUGGUGCUGCCAGCAUACUUGAUGCCAAAUCGCCUGGUGUUGGUAUUGCUGGGAAUGAAAAUGUUUCUGGUUGUGAAGAUUUGCCGCCGGAGAAUUUCCCGCCUGGAGGUCUUGAUUACGGUGAUGCAUUGCAAUAUACUUCUAGCGUGGAGGAGGUGCCAUCCGAGGAUGAUGAUUUACUUCUGUCAAUUUCUUCUGACCCCUUGACGCAGGAGGUGCUCUUGUCGUCCCAGGAUUUUCUUUCUACAGACCCUAAAAGCGCAUCAAUAUUGGUGUCCUCUCAAGAUGUCCCAUCGUCAAACCCUGAAACUGGAGGCAUAAUGGUCUCAUCAUAG
rnacentral:rRNA from 1 species